AUUGAACGCUGGCGGCAGGCCUAACACAUGCAAGUCGAGCGGUAGCACAGAGAGCUUGCUCUCGGGUGACGAGCGGCGGACGGGUGAGUAAUGUCUGGGAAACUGCCUGAUGGAGGGGGAUAACUACUGGAAACGGUAGCUAAUACCGCAUAACGUCGCAAGACCAAAGAGGGGGACCUUCGGGCCUCUUGCCAUCAGAUGUGCCCAGAUGGGAUUAGCUAGUAGGUGGGGUAACGGCUCACCUAGGCGACGAUCCCUAGCUGGUCUGAGAGGAUAACCAGACACACUGGAACUGAGACACGGUCCAGACUCCUACGGGAGGCAGCAGUGGGGAAUAUUGCACAAUGGGCGCAAGCCUGAUGCAGCCAUGCCGCGUGUAUGAAGAAGGCCUUCGGGUUGUAAAGUACUUUCAGCGGGGAGGAAGGUGUUGAGGUUAAUAACCUCAGCAAUUGACGUUACCCGCAGAAGAAGCACCGGCUAACUCCGUGCCAGCCGCCGCCGUAA
rnacentral:rRNA from 1 species